GGGUGCGAUCAUACCAGCACUAAUGCAUCGGAUCCCAUCGGAACUCCGAAGUUAAACGUGCUUGUGCGAGAGUAGUACUAAGAUGGGUGACCUCUUGGGAAGUCCUCGUGUUGCACCCC
rnacentral:rRNA from 1 species